rnacentral:rRNA from 1 species
AACGAACGCUGGCGGCGUGCUUAACACAUGCAAGUCGAACGCGAAAGAUUUUCUUCGGAGGAUCGAGUAGAGUGGCGCACGGGUGAGUAACGCGUAAGUAAUCUACCCUGGUAUCAGGGAUAACCAACCGAAAGGUUGGCUAAUACCUGAUACGCUGAUUUAUCAGGAAAGGUGGCCUCUUCAUGAAAGCUACUGUACCAGGAGGAGCUUGCGUACCAUUAGCUAGUUGGUAGGGUAACGGCCUACCAAGGCGACGAUGGUUAGCGGGUCUGAGAGGAUGAUCCGCCACACUGGAACUGGAACACGGACCAG